GAUAAACGCUGGCGGCGUGCCUAAUACAUGCAAGUCGAGCGAACGGACGAGAAGCUUGCUUCUCUGAUGUUAGCGGCGGACGGGUGAGUAACACGUGGAUAACCUACCUAUAAGACUGGGAUAACUUCGGGAAACCGGAGCUAAUACCGGAUAAUAUUUUGAACCGCAUGGUUCAAAAGUGAAAGACGGUCUUGCUGUCACUUAUAGAUGGAUCCGCGCUGCAUUAGCUAGUUGGUAAGGUAACGGCUUACCAAGGCAACGAUGCAUAGCCGACCUGAGAGGGUGAUCGGCCACACUGGAACUGAGACACGGUCCAGACUCCUACGGGAGGCAGCAGUAGGGAAUCUUCCGCAAUGGGCGAAAGCCUGACGGAGCAACGCCGCGUGAGUGAUGAAGGUCUUCGGAUCGUAAAACUCUGUUAUUAGGGAAGAACAUAUGUGUAAGUAACUGUGCACAUCUUGACGGUACCUAAUCAGAAAGCCACGGCUAACUACGUGCCAGCAGCCGCGGUAAUACGUAGGUGGCAAGCGUUAUCCGGAAUUAUUGGGCGUAAAGCGCGCGUAGGCGGUUUUUUAAGUCUGAUGUGAAAGCCCACGGCUCAACCGUGGAGGGUCAUUGGAAACUGGAAAACUUGAGUGCAGAAGAGGAAAGUGGAAUUCCAUGUGUAGCGGUGAAAUGCGCAGAGAUAUGGAGGAACACCAGUGGCGAAGGCGACUUUCUGGUCUGUAACUGACGCUGAUGUGCGAAAGCGUGGGGAUCAAACAGGAUUAGAUACCCUGGUAGUCCACGCCGUAAACGAUGAGUGCUAAGUGUUAGGGGGUUUCCGCCCCUUAGUGCUGCAGCUAACGCAUUAAGCACUCCGCCUGGGGAGUACGACCGCAAGGUUGAAACUCAAAGGAAUCGACGGGGACCCGCACAAGCGGUGGAGCAUGUGGUUUAAUUCGAAGCAACGCGAAGAACCUUACCAAAUCUUGACAUCCUUUGACAACUCUAGAGAUAGAGCCUUCCCCUUCGGGGGACAAAGUGACAGGUGGUGCAUGGUUGUCGUCAGCUCGUGUCGUGAGAUGUUGGGUUAAGUCCCGCAACGAGCGCAACCCUUAAGCUUAGUUGCCAUCAUUAAGUUGGGCACUCUAAGUUGACUGCCGGUGACAAACCGGAGGAAGGUGGGGAUGACGUCAAAUCAUCAUGCCCCUUAUGAUUUGGGCUACACACGUGCUACAAUGGACAAUACAAAGGGCAGCGAAACCGCGAGGUCAAGCAAAUCCCAUAAAGUUGUUCUCAGUUCGGAUUGUAGUCUGCAACUCGACUACAUGAAGCUGGAAUCGCUAGUAAUCGUAGAUCAGCAUGCUACGGUGAAUACGUUCCCGGGUCU
rnacentral:rRNA from 1 species